rnacentral:rRNA from 1 species
CUGGCUCAGGAUGAACGCUAGCGGCAGGCUUAACACAUGCAAGUCGAGGGGCAUCGGGAGUAGCAAUACUUGCCGGCGACCGGCGCAAGGGUGCGUAACGCGUGAGCAACAUGCCCGUAUCAGGGGGAUAAUCCAUGGAAACGUGGUCUAAUACCCCAUAGUAAUUAUGUAAGGCAUCUUAUAUAAUUUAAAGCUUUGGUGGAUACGGAUUGGCUCGCGUGACAUUAGCUGGAUGGUAAGGUAACGGCUUACCAUGGCUACGAUGUCUAGGGGUUCUGAGAGGAAGGUCCCCCCACACUGGAACUGAGACACGGUCCAGACUCCUACGGGAGGCAGCAGUGAGGAAUAUUGGACAAUGGAUGGAAAUCUGAUCCAGCCAUGCCGCGUGCAAGGAAGACGGCCCUAUGGGUUGUAAACUGCUUUUGUAUGGGAGCAAUAAGGGCUACGUGUAGUCCGAUGAGAGUACCAUACGAAUAAGCACCGGCUAACUCCGUGCCAGCCGCCGC